GGGGUUAUCAGUAGUGCACUAUAUGGCCCAAAGGAGGUUAUCAGUAGUGCACUAUAUGGCCCAAAGGAGGUUAUCAGUAGUGCACUAUAUGGCCCAAAGGAGGUUAUCAGUAGUGCACUAUAUGGCCCAAAGGAGGUUAUCAGUAGUGCACUAUAUGGCCCAAAGGAGGUUAUCAGUAGUGCACUAUAUGGCCCAAAGGAGGUUAUCAGUAGUGCACUAUAUGGCCCAAAGGAGGUUAUCAGUAGUGCACUAUAUGGCCCAAAGGAGGUUAUCAGUAGUGCACUAUAUGGCCCAAAGGAGGUUAUCAGUAGUGCAC